UACGGAGGGUGCGAGCGUUGUCCGGAAUCAUUGGGCGUAAAGGGCGCGUAGGUGGCCCGGUCAGUUCGUGGUGAAAGCGCGGGGCUCAACCCUGCGUCGGCCAUGAAUACUGCCGCGGCUGGAGCACUGUAGAGGCAGGCGGAAUUCCGGGUGUAGCGGUGGAAUGCGUAGAGAUCCGGAAGAACACCGGUGGCGAAGGCGGCCUGCUGGCAGUUGUUGGACACUGAGGCGCGACAGCGUGGGGAGCAAACAGGG
rnacentral:rRNA from 1 species